rnacentral:rRNA from 1 species
GACGAACGCUGGCGGCGUGCUUAACACAUGCCAGUCGAACGGAAAGGCCCUGCUUUUGUGGGGUGCUCGAGUGGCGAACGGGUGAGUAACACGUGAGUAACCUGCCCUUGACUUUGGGAUAACUUCAGGAAACUGGGGCUAAUACCGGAUAGGAGCUCCUGCUGCAUGGUGGGGGUUGGAAAGUUUCGGCGGUUGGGGAUGGACUCGCGGCUUAUCAGCUUGUUGGUGGGGUAGUGGCUUACCAAGGCUUUGACGGGUAGCCGGCCUGAGAGGGUGACCGGCCACAUUGGGACUGGGAUACGGCCCAGACUCCGACGGGAGGCAGCAGUGGGGAAUAUUGCACAAUGGGCGGAAGCCUGAUGCAGCAACGCCGCGUGCGGGAUGACGGCCUUCGGGUUGUAAACCGCUUUCGCCUGUGACGAAGCGUGAGUGACGGUAAUGGGUAAAGAAGCACCGGCUAACUACGUG